GAUGAACGCUGGCGGCGUGCUUAAUACAUGCAAGUCGAGCGAACGGACGAGAAGCUUGCUUUUUUGAUGUUAGCGGCGGACGGGUGAGUAACACGUGGAUAACCUACUUAUAAGACUGGGAUAACUUCGGGAAACCGGAGCUAAUACCGGAUAAUAUUUUGAACCGCAUGGUUCAAAAGUGAAAGACGGUCUUGCUGUCACUUAUAGAUGGAUCUGCGCUGCAUUAGCUAGUUGGUAAGGUAACGGCUUACCAAGGCAACGAUGCAUAGCCGACCUGAGGGGGUGAUCGGCCACCCUAGAACUGAGACACGGUCCAGACUCCUGAGGGAGGCAGCAGUAGGGAAUCUUCCGCAAUGGGCGAAAGCCUGACGGAGCAACGCCGCGUGAGUGAUGAAGGUCUUCGGAUCGUAAAACUCUGUUAUUAGGGAAGAACAUAUGUGUAAGUAACUGUGCACAUCUUGACGGUACCUAGUCAGAAAGCCACGGCUAACUACGUG
rnacentral:rRNA from 1 species